CGGGACUUCCGGUGGCGCGCGCAGACUGUGAGGGUUGGAGCUACACUGCUGUGGGUCGAAGUCUCAAACACACCCCAUACGGCCUUGAAAACUUAUCCUGGGCCGGGCGGUGGUGGCCCGUGCCUUGAAUCUCAGCGUUCGGGAGGCAGAAGCAGGCGGAUCUCCGGGAGUUCGAGGUCAACCUGGUCUACAAGAGCUAGUUCCA